GUACACGCUGUGACUAGCAUAUCAAUAAGCGGAGGAAAAGAAACUAACAAGGAUUCCCUCAGUAACGGCGAGUGAAGCGGGAAGAGCUCAAAUUUGAAAUCUUGAAAGGUCACCUUUCACGAAUUGUAGUUUAAAGAAGUGUUUUCUGUUACGAUCGUAAUAUAAGUUCUUUGGAAUAGGACAUCACAGAGGGUGAGAAUCCCGUCUAUGAUUGCGAUUUGUAGCUUUGUGAUACACUUUCAAAGAGUCGGGUUGUUUGGGAAUGCAGCCCAAAACGGGAGGUAAAUUUCUCCUAAGGCUAAAUAUUGGCGAGAGACCGAUAGCGAACAAGUACCGUGAGGGAAAGAUGAAAAGAACUUUUGAAAAGAGAGUUAAAUAGUACGUGAAAUUGUCAAAAGGGAAGCGUUUAACACCAGUGUUGUUUUCUGAAAAUCAACCUCUGCUAGCUUUAUGCAUGUUUGUUUAGACCUAAUCAGCUAUCUUUCAUGUUCUAUUGUUUGCAGUGGUGCACUUUUCAGUUUACAGGUCAACAUCAGUUUUUUUUACCGUAAAAAAGUUAAAGAAAGGUAGCUCAUGGCUCCGGUCGUGAGUGUUAUAGUCUUUUUCCUAUGCGGUAGGAGAGACUGAGGUCUGCAGUGUAGGCUAUUUGGCUAGAUACUCAGGUGCUAUGUGAUACCAUUUCAUAAACAACUUGUUGAUUAUGUUUUGUCUAUUGCAUACUCGCUUGUACUAUCAUACCUACGCUUAGGAUGUUGAGUAGCGACAUACGCAC
rnacentral:rRNA from 1 species